rnacentral:rRNA from 1 species
AUACGGAGGAUCCAAGCGUUAUCCGGAUUUAUUGGGUUUAAAGGGAGCGUAGAUGGAUUUUUAAGUCAGUUGUGAAAGUUCGGGGCUCAACCCCGUAAUUGCAGUUGAUACGGGUGGAUAUCUUGAGUACAGUUGAGGUAGGCGGAAUUCGUGGUGUAGCGGUGAAAUGCUUAGAUAUCACGAAGAACUCCGAUUGCGAAGGCAGCUUACUAAGCUGUAACUGACAUUGAGGCUCGAAAGUGUGGGUAUC